rnacentral:lncRNA from 1 species
ACUUUCUGCUUGUUCCUGUGAUACCAGAUACAGACAGGGAGUCAUUAAGCAGCCAUUGGGAGACACACUUCUGAACACCACCACUGGAAAAUCACACAUGCUGAAAUGGGAGAGUUCCCUGACCCCCUUGCAGGAUGUGUGACAGGGGUGUGGCUCAUCUGUUCGGCUGGAGUGCAUACUCAAACCCCUUAUGAGACAAGGAGUAUGCAGACAGAAGGUGCAGGAACUGGGAGCAAAAUAUAAACUAGUUAAUUUGAUCUCCAAGAGUUAAGCGGUUUUGAUAUUACUGACAGUAAUAUCAGCAGUGUUGUUGGAACCCCAUGAUCUCAUGAAUGAUGGAUGCAACUGCUUACUGGACAUUGAAGCUUUAUGGCCAGCUGCCAAAAAAAUAAAUGCACCUUAAUUUUUAAAUUGAAUUAUAAAGCCAAAAAUAUCCUAUUGCUCUAUUCCUCUUAUUUUCGUGUUUACAUGUGACUUUAUAAUUUCCUUCACUUGAAAGAUUUUAACUUUAAAGGAAACUUUACUCUGAACGUUUAGGACAAUUCAUAGAUAAUCAAAUUGAUUAUCAUGUUUUCAAUGUUAAAUAUUACUUAU